GACGAACGCUGGCGGCAUGCCUAACACAUGCCAGUCGAACGAGACCUUCGGGUCUAGUGGCGCACGGGUGCGUAACGCGUGGGAACCUGCCCUUAGGUUCGGAAUAACUCCCCGAAAGGGGUGCUAAUACCGGAUAAUGUCUUCGGACCAAAGAUUUAUCGCCUUUGGAUGGGCCCGCGUUGGUUUGGCUAGUUGGUAGGGUAAAAGCCUACCAAGGCGACGAUCCAUAGCUGGUCUGAGAGGAUGAUCAGCCACACUGGGACUGAGACACGGCCCAGACUCCUACGGGAGGCAGCAGUGGGGAAUAUUGGACAAUGGGCGAAAGCCUGAUCCAGCAAUGCCGCGUGAGUGAUGAAGGCCUUAGGGUUGUAAAGCUCUUUUACCCGGGAUGAUAAUGACAGUACCGGGAGAAUAAGCUCCGGCUAACUCCGUG
rnacentral:rRNA from 1 species